UCCUUCCUUGAGUCUGUGGUGUGUACUGGGAUGCGAAAGGCUCUAGGUGUCAGAUGCCUCCCUUCAUUCUUCAGGCUGCAAGCUUCCAGCCUAUGACGUCGGGAUUUAAAGUGCCAAGAAAGAGAGAGGAACCCUCCCACCCCAAGUGCCACCCGUGAGAGUAAUGGAAGAGCUGUCAACCCAUGCCCAGGCACAUAUAAACAGGGAGCUCAGAAGUGAAGAGAAACAGGUAAGAGAAGUGAAACCAUGGUUCAUCCUCCACCUAAAAACUG